AUUGAACGCUGGCGGCAUGCUUUACACAUGCAAGUCGAACGGGUGUCGGGGGCAACCCUGGCGCCAGUGGCGAACGGGUGAGUAAUGCAUCGGAACGUGCCUGGUAGUGGGGGAUAACGUAGCGAAAGUUACGCUAAUACCGCAUACGCUGGAGACAGGAAAGCGGGGACCUGCGAGGGCCUCGUGCUACUGGAGCGGCCGAUGUCCGAUUAGCUAGUUGGUGGGGUAAAGGCUCACCAAGGCGACGAUCGGUAGCUGGUCUGAGAGGAUGAUCAGCCACACUGGGACUGAGACACGGCCCAGACUCCUACGGGAGGCAGCAGUGGGGAAUUUUGGACAAUGGGGGCAACCCUGAUCCAGCCAUGCCGCGUGAGUGAAGAAGGCCUUCGGGUUGUAAAGCUCUUUUGUCCGGGAAGAAAAGGCACCGGUGAAUAGCUGGUGCUCUUGACGGUACUGGAAGAAUAAGCACCGGCUAACUACGUGCCAGCCGCCGCGGUAA
rnacentral:rRNA from 1 species